AACAAAUUACUUGUCUUGAUUGGUGAAAGAAUGUUCGGUUAGAUACCUAUAAACACAACAGACGCGAUUUGAACGUGUUUAGUUGCCUUUCUUCCGCAGAACGUUAUCAAUUCAGAUAAAGUAUGUGACGUAGGACAAAACUGAUAAGGAACAUAUGCCAUAAAUAUGUGUACAUGUACACACGUAGCACAUACUUACCUAAGCAGAGAUAGGUAUAAAUGUUUUCAUACUUUUUGUGCUACGUGACUGCACAGGACUGAAGGUCGAUCACAAGUAUUGGUGGAAUCUAAUCAGAACAGAUCUGUAAUACAGUGCAGGCGAGCGAUGAUUUCCAUUCUUCGUGCUCGAUGUCGCGGCUACGAGACGAGAAAGCCACACAACAUGAAAAUAUCACAUUCUUCACUCUACACAUACGUACGUCUUACAAUUUAUUUAUAUUUUAUAUUCUGUAGUUUUGACCUACGCUACUGAUCAUAUUGCUUUUUUAUUUUACAUCUUAAGUAUUUUUCUUACAAAACUAACAAUAUAUUAUGUCUCUUAGAGUUUGCCCUUGACGUACCUGCUUAUGUCAACGUCGUAAACAUCGGUUUAUUAAUUGUCUUGUUAUGUACGUCAAUUGUGUUUAUUGUACCUACGGCGGCUACACAUGCGACACGUACUGGACACAAAAUGACUUCAACUUAAGGCAGCGCUCUGACGAAACGGAUUCAGACGCCGUUGUAAUUUUAAUUAAGCACUACAAUAAUUAACAAGAGCAAAGGUAAUGAAACAAUGAUGCGCGUGAGAUGGAGUGUUUUACGAAAAUAAAGGCAACAGAACGGGCACAAUGACUCAGAUGGAAUUCAGCUUUGCCCGCCAUACUGAGCUUCGUCGGAAUCAGAAAUACAAUCCUAAUUAUAAUCGCACGCAUCCGUCCAGCACCUCAAUCGGUCGCUAACGUUCCGACUAAACCGCACCGUGCUCCUGGACGCACUCAUCUCUGUGGAUUGUGUGCAAUGAACGUUUAAUAAUUAUUUUCGUAAUACACGUCACGUAAAGUUCAAGCGUCGGCAACACUCGCAGUGAGGGAGUCGCGCCGCACCGCGCCGCACUCGCUUUAAUAAGCUCACAGAAUAAACACGCUAUUGAUAUCUUGUUAAUUCUUAUUAUAGCCACACAAUAUUGUUCACUUACUACAUUACUGGCGAGUAGGUACAACGUUAUUAGCGACUUGCCAUCUGCGAUUGUAAUGCUUAAACGCUACGCAAUUUCUUCAGACCUUAACCUAUUUAUUUAAAUCUGACAAGGUUAUAUCAAAAUUUAUGUCGUUCAAAUCGACGAAUUUAACGCGUGAUUCGCCAAUUUUUAAAAGUGAUUUCACAUUAUCCAAUCGAAUGUUAUUCUUUUAGAAUAGACACGUACGUCAUGUGUGUACAUCAUCGGCUGUUUACUGUGAUAGUUUAUUGCAUCGAAUAUUUGUACGUUCGUUUAAACGAUACAUUUUAUAAAUACGGUGCGAUGCGAGUAUUAGCCGACGGAGUGGUUCAUAAUAACGUAUGUGUACAUAGGAGCAACAUUGCCGCAUUGCGGUGAGCCGCCCAUAUGUCGACAUAUCACUUCUGCCCUUUACUGGAGUGUACCAUACUCAAAUACCUUUUAGAUCGGCCCGCGCGAGAUUACUAACUUUUUCUUUAGUCACAAUCUACAUGACCAUAUCUGAUGUGUACGUAUAUUUAAGAAUUAUUUUGAUUAACUCAUAAUUAGGUCAUGUUUCGCAAACUGUAUAAAGUUUUAACAAAUAAAAUAUCAUAUCAGAAAAUAAUUUAAACUAAUUUGUUCUUUUGGUGAACAAUUAGUUAUAACAACGAUUACUACUAUAAAAAUCAAAAUAACAAAGUCACAUGGUUUCAUUAUCAGCCGUAGCAGAGAAGUGCUUAUCGAGAGCUCGUUUCCGGGUCAGGUAAUUUUGUUCCACACAAUGAUUUUGAUCACUUUGGUGUUAACCGAAUAUUAAACCGCGUUAAGGAAUAAUAAAAUGUGUACAAAGUUUUAGUUGUUUUUAGUUUCACGCCUCAGACGCCAUGUAUCGGGCCUGUAAUACAUUAGUCGGGCGUUGAUUUACACGGCUACAUAUCGUGGGCGCGUCUAUUCAUAGUACUAAUGUACUAUAUUUAGUAGCGAUUCCCUAUUAUUUCUCGCGACUGACUCAGUAUGUGAGUUGUUCCGCUUUCAAAAAUGGCUUUUAAAUUAACGUGCGUGAUUAUUGAAUUUUCCUCAUUGCGCAUUCCCGGUAAUCGGGAACCUGCCUAUUCGAUUAUUGAAUCUGUAAUUAGGCCAUUAAAAUUACCGAGAAUUAUGUGGUUAUAGGUUUGGUUAAAUAAUCUUCAUGAUGAUGUAAUUGAGCUUACUUGUAUAUUUUUAUUAUUAUAAUUAUGAUGAAUAUUAAAAUUCAUAUGUAUCUAUUACUAGGUAACAUAAUUAGCUUAGAGCUGACGCGUAAAGUAGUAGUUUCAAGGUCGGUGGGUCUAUGUAAAUAGCAAAUAAGCGCAUAUGGAGAGGCGCCGAUGCAGGUAGAAGCAGCAACGCGUCGGCUGCGUACGCGCACAUCUGCCGGUCGCGAGUGGCGCGACCAGGCGCGUGCCGGCCGCGCCUAGCACCCGUCCCGUCGUCACGUAAGCCACGAGCGACAUACCGACACAUAUUCGUACCAUAUAUUAUUCCCAGCUUAGCAGUUGUUGCGAUUAACCGCUAUUUUCGACUACACUUGUAAUUUGUGUAAUUAGAUUCUAGAUUAUACCCCAGAUCUGAUCAUGUGAUCAUCUUAUUUUUUAUUGACUUAAACUAUAAACAAAUAAUUGUUGUGUACAAGUAAACGCGUGUCUUGCUCUUGUACACAUUGAAGUGAUAGAUGAUUUGCUUGCAUAGUGUCCUCCUUUAAAGCUGUGAGUAAACAACUGGUCUAUCGUACAUUAAUCAUUAACACUUACGUAUCAUAAUUAAUCUAUUUUCCGCCACUUAUUAUGAUGACGGUGCCAUCGGUAUGUUUACUAUUUUAUCUUACACGUAGUUGUGAAUUAUGUUAUUUGUUGCUUGUGCUCUUAUGACAAAGGAUUAGAAGCGAUUAAAGCUUUCAUAAGCGGUACCAAGUCGCUGCCGCUUAUGACUCACGUCGCCCUCUGUGGGUUGGCAGCGCGGCUAAUUAUAAUCUACUAAACAUCAUCGAGUGCUUGUAAGUUAGGGUCGCACCUCGUGUAUGUAUUUUUAAAUACUUUUUUCUAGUCUGACUUCCUCUAAGUGUAAACUGAUUUAGAUAAUUUAAUGGAAUUAUAAAUAAAACGUUUAAAUGAAUGUAUCACGUGGUUUAUGGUUGUAAGUAUUGUUUGUUUUAAUUGUUGGUAUAAUGGAAAGAUCAAUUAGUAAUAAAUAAUGAAGUAUCAAAAGGUUGAAGGCAUGUUUUAGCAGCCCUAAACCGGUGUAUGGAGGCGGGCGCGCGGCGCGGCGGGCGACGGCCGGUGCGUGCGACCCGAUCACCACAUCGCACCUUGUUGAAGACUGCACGAUGCGUGGCGUGGCGUAUUAGCAACGGCAUUAGCAUUAUUUAUAUAUUGAUUUAUACACCCUCGCGUUCCACAUCAAGUUAUGAUUAUGUUACGGCUGCUGUUUCAAUCAGCGUGUGCUAAACUUUUACUAAUUGCCCGACGUUGACAACGUGAUAAAGAUCUUGUUAUUUAAAUGCGUGAAUAUUAAACAAAGUCAUGUGUCAUAAUAAUUAAUCUGCCUACUCGUGCUCUAUUUAAAAUUAUCUUGGGCUGUUGCCAGCUAUUCUAAAUACCAUACGUGGUCGCGUUCAAAUUUGUCUAUAACAAUAACGAAGAAAUUCACAUGAAAUAGAAAGGUAAUCAAAUUCGUGGCAAAUUGCAUGUAUUCGAAUGGCGCCGUCGCUGAGACUCGCGAGUCCAUUGUUCAGUCCGUAGCGUGAAAAUCAAACUUCCGUACUGCUAUUAAAGAUAUUACAAACAUUUGUAAAUAUCUAUUGUAGUCUGUGCGAUUUUCAACCGAUAGCUGGUGCCUACAUUAUUUGCUAGAGUGUUUUUAUUUUUAGUGUUACAUUUGCGAUUGUUAUUGAUGUCGACAGGUAUGCCACCUACACCUUUUCGCCAAAAAUACUGAGCACGUGAUGAAUCUAAAGCACAAUCGUUGCUUCUAAUAAAAAUGACGUCAAAGCUAAAGCACACACUAAAAUAAUUAUGCCGGUUUGGUCAAAUCGGCGCGGGCGCACAGCGCGACGUUGGACGGUACAGAUUAUCCAGCGCCGAAUGAGCGCAAUUUUUUAAUCUGUCGCGCGUUUCCUUGUAAAUCUUAAUUCGUAUGUUCCGUUACAGUAAUUCCAGUGUGAGGGCAUGGACGCGCAUUUUUUUCUCUGGAAACGUAUCACCUUGUCGUCGGGUAGCCGGUUACUUACCUACAAUUAAAAAGCGAAAAGAGCGCGGAUUCCGAGGCGAAUUUCGAGAAAUAUCGACGGGGUCAACGAACCAUGUCGACGCAUCGUGGCCGCGUCUCCUCACUUGAUUUUUUUACAUUUUGGAAUUAUACGGAUAAUUUAGGAUGAAGUCUUA